UACGGGUGGCAGCAGUGAGGAAUAUUGGUCAAUGGGCGCGAGCCUGAACCAGCCAAGUAGCGUGAAGGAUGACUGCCCUACGGGUUGUAAACUUCUUUUAUAAAGGAAUAAAGUGAGGCACGUGUGCCUUUUUGUAUGUACUUUAUGAAUAAGGAUCGACUAACUCCGUGCCAGCAGCCGCGGUAAUACGGAGGAUCCGAGCGUUAUCCGGAUUUAUUGGGUUUAAAGGGAGCGUGGAUGGGUUGUUAAGUCAGUUGUGAAAGUUUGCGGCUCAACCGUAAAAUUGCAAUUGAUACUGGCAGUCUUGAGUACAGUUGAGGUAGGCGGAAUUCGUGGUGUAGCGGUGAAAUGCUUAGAUAUCACGAAGAACUCCGAUUGCGAAGGCAGCUUACUAAACUGCCACUGACAUUGAUGCUCGAAAGUGUGGGUAUCAAACAGGAUUAGAUACCCCUGUAGUC
rnacentral:rRNA from 1 species